rnacentral:rRNA from 1 species
UACGAAGGGGGGCUAGCGUUGCUCGGAAUUAUUGGGCGUAAAGAGCUUGUAGGCGGUUUGUCGCGUCGGCUGUGAAAUCCCGAGGCUCAACCUCGGGCCUGCAGUCGAUACGGGCAAACUAGAGUGUGGUAGGGGAGACUGGAAUUCCUGGUGUAGCGGUGAAAUGCGCAGAUAUCAGGAGGAACACCGGCGGCGAAGGCGGGUCUCUGGGCCAUAACUGACGCUGAGGAGCGAAAGCGUGGGGGAGCGAACAGG